AACGGCCCACCAAGGCGACGAUCGGNAGCCGGCCUGAGAGGGUGAUCGGCCACAUUGGGACUGAGAUACGGCCNNGACUCNUACGGGAGGCAGCAGUAGGGAAUAUUGNRCAAUGGGGGAAACCCUGAUGCAGCAACGCCACGUGUGGGAAGAAGCAUUUCGGUGUGUAAACCACUGUCGUNAGGGAAUAAGGCGUCUUCUCGGAGACGUUGAAUGUACCUCGAAAGGAAGCACCGGCAAACUUCGUGCCAGCAGCCGCGGUAAUACGAGGGGUGCNAGCGUUGUUCGGAAUCACUGGGCGUAAAGGGAGCGUAGGCGGAGAUGCAAGCGGACUGUACAAUACCGGGGCCCAACCCCGGGCCUGCAGUUCGGACUGCACCUCUU
rnacentral:rRNA from 1 species